AGCCCGGAGAAGAGGAGCUUGGGGUGACCUCACUGCGGCCUUCCAGUGCCUGAAGGGAAGGUGGAGGAAAGAUGCCCCAAGGCUGUUCAGUAGAGCAUGUAGUGACAGACAAGAGGGAAUGGGUUCACACUGCCAGUAGGUUUAGAUUAGAAGUUAGUGUCAGGAGAUUAAUUCACAGUGCCAAAGGCUUAUGUCCAAAAAGGAGACAGAGGAGAGUCUGGUUCUUUAAGGGAAUCUGGUUACCGGGAAUCUGGUUCAUGCAUCCGCCGGGUUAAGAUACGAUUGUGCCCGCGGUUCCCAGCCAGGAUCUGAUGGAGCCAGCCUGUUCCUCUCCUGGGGACUGGAUCAUCUCUCUUAAGAGGACAGGCUGAGGGAAUCGGGCCUGCUCAGCCUAGAGAAGACACCUCAUCCCUGUGUCAGUGCCCAAAGGGAGGUGGCAGAGCACGGACCAGCUCUCAGCAGUGGAACAAGAGGCACAGGCAGGAGCUGACGCCCAGGAAGUUCCACCUGAACAUGAGGAGAACUUUCCUGUGCAGUGCCCGAGCACUGAACAGGCUGCCCACAGAGGGUGUGGGGUCUCCCUCACUGGGGACAUUCCACAGCAAUCCUGGACACAAUCCUGGGCCAUGAGCUCCGGGAUGGCCCUGCUGGAGCAGGGAGGUGGGGCCACUGUGUUCCCUGCCAACCUGACCCAUUCUGUGAUUCCCUAUUCACUGUGGUGAGCUGGGCUCUUAAUAAAUGUCAUUGCUCUUCCCCCAUAUCUUUUAUCCAGCAUUGAUUCACUGUUUCAUUUCCUGUAUCAGGAUGUUUUAUAUUUUUUUCCUCUUCAGGUUACUAGAAUCUCCAUGCUUUUAACAAUCAAGAUAAAAAAACACAUUCCCUUUUACCCCCAAAAUCCUCAUUAUGUGUCAAAAGCAGGCAUCAGAAAUCAACCCACAGCAGUGGUGCACUGGCAUUCUGGUUUGAAGAGUCUCUUGGCAGAUUUCUGUCAAAGGCUUCCCUAACAUACAGCAGAACCCAAAAUGACUGCAAUCUCCUUCAUUGUGUCCUCAGCCUCAUGCUUGCACAGCUUUUGACAUACUAAGAGAUAGGCCAAGGGGCACCACAAAUGGUUUCAGCUGCAGAGGGACUGUUGCUACCAAAACAAUGAUUCAUUCUGGCUUUCAGCCUGUCGUUUAGUACAUCUUGGGAAAAUACUCAUAGGAAGCAGGCUGAGUCUGGAGAAACUGUCCAGAGAUACCUGAUCCAAUUAUCUGAAACACCUCUUACUUACACAGGAAACCCUGACAGAUAUUUUUAUUCCAAGAUGAGACACUUAAUCGUUUUGCACAGAAAAAAGGUUGUUUCUCUACAUUUUAUUCCGUGCUAGAAAAUCCCAGAGAAAACAUGAGGAUUAGGCAACUGUAUGUGACAGAAUUAAUUUCAUCAUUUCACCUAGUUGCACCUUUUCUUUUCCUUAAAAUCUUGAAAUUUUUUAUUAUCACAAUGGCAAGACAAAGAACCAUUCCAAACUUGAGGUGUGCAUGAAGUAAUAUUGAUCUGUUUGUCUAAGUUUGCAAAGCACCUAAAAAUACUUUCAAGUUUUUCCUUUUCUGUCAAUGCAUUCCUUGAAUAUGGGUGAGGAUAGUUUGACUUACAAUGUUAGCUCAAGCAAAGAGAAAAGAGGAAAAAGGAAGAAAUGCCAUGUGUUCUCCAGAACAUGUGGUGAGAUUGGGCCACAGAGAAGAAAGGGGAUGGAGGAUGUAACAAAGCAAGUUUCUAAUCGCAUCCCAGUUUAAGAGAGUAUGGGAUUCCUGUUGUUUCCCCUCAAAGGCUGAAAACCCCUCUGCUGCAGUGAUGAAAAGCUGCUUUGCUUAUCCCUGCUAUCUCUGAUAUCUCUCCAGACAACUUCCAUCUUCCCUAGGUACUGUAAUACCCUGGUAGGUAUGCUCUUACAGGGGCACAGCAAUCACAGCAGCUGUUCUGGAAGAGUCUGCCACUUUGCAGUGAUCAUUUGAACCUUUCCUUCUUGACAACACAACAGUUUUAUAACUUCUGAGCUCCUCCUAUUAUACUCAGGAUUGCCAGGAGAAUGGUGAGCCUUCACAGGAUCAAACAAGGCACAACUGUAUCAAAAAAGAAAAUGAAUAUGGAAGAAAUGCUACAGCAUUUCAAUCCUUAAACAGAGCUACUCAGUAAGGGAAAUUUGCAACUGCAGAAUGGCUUUUUAAAAGGAAUGAGAAAAGGCAACAUUUCUAAAAUCAGGAACAUAACUCCAGUUGUCACCUAUUAACACUCUUUAUCCCUGAGCUGGAAGGUGUAAAUAAUACAGUAGAAAUGACCAAAUCACUGCAGGAAGACACAAUAGCAGGUUACUGAGAUCCACUACAAGCAAAGCAUAUGCUUGAUGGCAAAUCUUUUCCCCAUUUCCUACACGAGAUAUUCAUCGGGGUCUGACUUCUAAUUGAAUGCAAAUAAAGAAUAACAGGUUUUUGCAUAUGAAGUGAAGCUAUAGAACAUCUGCCUCUUCACAGCCUUUCUGUGUACCUUAUGUGAUAUUAAGCAAAGAAGAGGUUUGCCUCAUCAGCUUGUAAGAAAUGGUAAAUUUGAAGAACAGUGUGAGAGAACUAAAUCAUUCCACUUCUGCUGUAAAAGGUGUCUCUUUGAUAUCCCCAUGUACUCCUAGGUGAUAAAAUGCCAAGUUGGGCAAAAUCAGUUUCAAUGCCAAAAAGAUGGACUACUGGUGCAGAAGGUCACAAAACACUAUUAAUUGCCUUAUAUCAUCUCAGUCUUGAAAGAUGAUCCAAAAAUACAGGCUAGUGCUUUGGAACAAAGCACACGUUGCUAGCUGGCAUUAUCCAAGCAAGCUGUUAAAGGCACUUUAGGCAUGCUCUUACCUGCAAAUGGAAUAACCUGUCUCCUGCUCUUUUCGCCUCUUUUACAGUAGUCAUUUAUGUUGGUUUUUUACUUCCUCAGCAACCUAAUUCACUAAUUGUGUUUACUGGUAUAGUCAUUUUGUGACCUUUUCAGAAAAAAGCUACAGCAAUCUGAAUGUAAAAGUCAGUGUCCUGAAAUUAGCUUACAUGUUUAUAGGUUAUAGCAUGGACGAACACUGAUGUGGAAAUAAAAACCUGGUUAAAAAAUAGCUACACAAAAUACCAGAGAGGAGCUAGAAAGAUUCCCAGAGAGGAGCUAAAAAAUAUCCCCAUCUCCUACAGCCACUCUUUUGCAGAGUGUGUCUAAAAUAGUGCACCUGAUCUUUUGUCAAAACUCUAAUUAACAUACAUCAAGUAGACAAACAUCAAAAUCAGAUCUAAAAUGCCCAUUGUACAUUCAGUUAAGGAACAAAACAUUUGAGUCUCAAGGAUGGAUGACAUUUGAAGGUGUCUGGAAUAACAUCAGCAAUACAUUUCCAUGCUUGGUACUAUUCAGUGGUGUGAGAGAUGUGCACUGGUGCUUCUGGAGUCUGAGAACAGUACGUGUCCAGCCGUGUGUAAUUCAGGCCCCCAACACACAUUACUUUGGACACGUGCUGUAAGACAAAGAAGCUGAUUUCAGUCCCACCAGAGCCAAGGGUCCUUGGCUGACUUAAUUUCUAACCUUACACCCACUCCAGAGGUGCUGAAUGAGAGGUCCAGUUUCCCAAAGGAACACAGAGUCCUUCUCUCCAGCAUUCCUGGAUUUGAGUUCUGAUCAGGUGGCAGGCAGGAGGGGAAGUGCCGGGGUUGGCUGUUUCUCGUCUCUGCCCCAGCACGGGAAAAGGUGGUUCUGGGUAGGCCGCGCUCUCGAAGAAGGAGUCUGGACUCUUGCUUUUAGGUCUUCAGUCGAGUUUAUUAUUUCUUAUCUACAAAGAUUUUCUGUCUGUCCAGCCGAGGUCUGAUCAGCAAGACAGCCAAAGGCACUCUCCCCCGCCCACGAGGCGGUUGUCUCUUUUAUAAUGAAAAUUACGUAUUAGAUAUUUACCUUUACUUCCCAAUACUUUCUGCUCUUGUUGGCAAGUGCACCUUCACUAUGAACCA